CAGGUUUACCUGUGUGACUGCGUACCUUUUGUAUAAUGGGUCAGCGACUUAUAUUCUGUAGCAAGGUUAACCGAAUAGGGGAGCCGGAGGGAAACCGAGUCUUAAUUGGGCGUUAAGUUGCAGGGUAUAGACCCGAAACCCGGUGAUCUAGCCAUGGGCAGGUUGAAGGUUGGGUAACACUAACUGGAGGACCGAACCGACUAAUGUUGAAAAAUUAGCGGAUGACCUGUGGCUGGGGGUGAAAGGCCAAUCAAACCGGGAGAUAGCUGGUUCUCCCCGAAAGCUAUUUAGGUAGCGCCUCGUGAAUUCAUCUCCGGGGGUAGAGCACUGUUUCGGCUAGGGGGCCAUCCCGGCUUACCAACCCGAUGCAAACUGCGAAUACCGGAGAAUGUUAUCACGGGAGACACACGGCGGGUGCUAACGUCCGUCGUGAAGAGGGAAACAACCCAGACCGCCAGCUAAGGUCCCAAAGUCAUGGUUAAGUGGGAAACGAUGUGGGAAGGCCCAGACAGCCAGGAUGUUGGCUUAGAAGCAGCCAUCAUUUAAAGAAAGCGUAAUAGCUCACUGGUCGAGUCGGCCUGCGCGGAAGAUGUAACGGGGCUAAACCAUGCACCGAAGCUGCGGCAGCGACGCUUAUG
rnacentral:rRNA from 1 species